CAAGAAAUAGUUUAUUUAAAAUAUUAAUUUUGGAGAUUAAUGAUAGAAUUUUUUCUUUUUUUGA
rnacentral:tRNA from 1 species